AAACGUCACUCUCAUUUUUUAAGAAACGUCAUAUGGGGAAAGAGUGGAGGGCUGAGUGGGGAGAAAAUGGCUGAAGAUUGAAGAAUUGCUCUGUUUCUUCAUCCUCUGUUUCAAAUUUCUUUACUGUUUCUAAUAUCUGAAGACCCCCAAUUUUUCCUACUUUCUAAUUUGAAUUAUACCUUGAAAACAUUUAGCGUUUCUUUAUUGUCUUUGAAUGAUCUUGAUCAAUAAAGCAGUGUUUUCAUUGUGCGAUGGGAAAUUUUUUUUUAUCUAAUCUUGAUUUUCACUUGAAUGAAGUUUUCUUUCAUUUUUCAAUGAAAAUGGGUGAAAAUUUUCCCUUAAUUAACAAUGAGAGUCCCCCCAUUUCUCUCUCACUCAAAUAAAUGGGGGCUUUUUUUGUGUUUCUUGAUUUUCUUUUUAGCAUUUCUUUGUUGCAUUUGAAUGAUCUUGAUCAGUAAACCGGUAUUUUCAUUGUGCGAUCGCGGAAUUCUUUUUAAUUUUGAUUUUCACUUGAAUGAAAGUUUCUUUCAUUUUUCAACGAAAGAUUAGUGAAAUCUUCAUUCAAUGAGAGUCCUUCCAUGGGAUUUAUGAAUUCUUUUAUUUUUGUUUCUUUUCUUGGGUGAAAUCAUAUUGUUGGUUUAUGAAGUCUUCUCAUCUUCAGAAUUUUGCAGUUCGUUUCAUUUGUUGGCUAGGUUUAGCAAGAAUCGGGAUUGGGUGAAAUUAUUUUACUAUUGUUUUUGGUUCGGCUUUCAUAUUGCGCUUGCUUACGAUCCCAUAAUUUACCAGGCUUGAUCGGGCUGUGACUUUAGAUUCCUAUUGGAUAAUUUCCGAUCAUACUGCAGGGAAAUUCUGUGGCGCGAGCUAAAUAAGCUUAAACAGGCUAAUGCCCUUUUCCGCAAUAAAUUGCAAUUUCCCGACAUAGAAGACUCAGGGUUGCGGACGCUUGUCAAUCAAAGACAACUAAUAUGACAGGCUUUAAAUUGGCAGCAUUCUCUUUGGGGACAUCCAAGCCAAAGUCCCAGUGAUCCAUGUGUCCGUCUUGCUGAAAUAGUUCCGUUCAAGAUCAUCAUGGACUGGCUUUUAAUGUAGUUGAUGAACUGCCCAAAACUGUGACACUACAUUAAAUCAGGGUUCUGAUCCAACAAGUAUGGACUUUCAUCCUAUUCAGCAAACUCUACUUCUUGUUCAGUCCUUAACUUGGCGUCAGCAAUUUAAGGUACCUUCUUGUCUGCAAAGCUGUAAAUUGAAGUGAUUUUUAUUUCUUAAUUUAGCUUCUGGGAAGUUAGUUCCAGGGAGAAGUUGGUCUCCGAAAAUGUUGCCAAGUAUUGAAUUUUGUAGAAAGUUCAAUGAUACUGAAGUUACAACCCUUUAUGAGUUAUAAGUUCAGAUUUUGAACAAAAUACUUCUUUAAUUAAAAUAAUCUAUAUUUUUUAUAUUGAUAUCUGUUUAUAUAUAAAUAUGUGUAUAUAUAUAUAUAUAUAUGUUUUGAAUAUUGGUAUUUAGUUUCUUAAUACGAUUGUGCAAAGUACAGGUAUGAAAAUAUGAAAAUAUAAUUAUUUAUGUUUCCUUAGUUAUUUACUGGAUUCUAGAUAUAACCCUUAUUCCUCCAAUAGAUUAUUGAAUAAAUGAAUAAGAUUAUUUUUGUAUAGCAUAGUGUGAUAUUGUGGUUGAUUAUUAGCAAGAAUAAAUUAUGUUAGUAUAAACUUUAUGUUAUUAUCUAUUGUUAAGAGCUACGUGGACCUGAUCCUCUAUUGGAGGUACGUAGGCAGCCUUCGGGUGCGGUCGAAAUAUAAUAUAUGUUAAGACUUUAAUUAGCAAAUAGUAGCGAUGUAAAUUCAAGCCAUAUUAACAGAUUUUCAUGUUGAAUAAAUUACUUAUUGGAAAUUUAAUGAGUUUAAUAUGACUAAAAUAAUUAACAUACAAAUAAUUAUAUUUAUAAGAUUAUGGAUAAAAAUAAGCCACAAAAGAAAUCACUGAAUUAGCUAAGAUAUAGGAGAACAAUUUUCAUAAAGAGACCAUGAGUGAAUUAGACCCUUAAUAUUACCAAAACUUGACUAUAACUUAGGAUAGAAGCAUACAGUAGUACCUAAAAUGAAUAAGUUGGAAAGCUUGUCAAAGGAACGAAAAUUGGCAUGCGAAUAGGUGCAAUUUGUGAUAUAAAACAGCAAUUGAAAGGCAGUGUCACAGUCUGCAUAUAAAACGUAAGUUGGCAUUUGAAAGCCAGUGUUGUAGUUCAGUUAUAAGGCAUAGACGAAGUGUCGCACCUAUCCCAAAUCCUCAUUCACUAGCAAACUAAAUGAAAUUGUUGCUUGAACAAAUAAAGAAUAAUGGCAUAAAAAUCCAACAUUUUAUUUCUUGGCACAAUAAAUUAGGAUUUAAAAAUAUUUGGCGAUUCUUUCCAAAUUUGAAUUGAAAGUGGGGGAGCAUUUGUCGGUAGCAGGCCAUAUUGUAUUUUUAUAUUAUUCGAUGCUGGACUCUACGCUACACCUUGGAUAACCAAGGCGAGGUAUUAAUCGUUGGUUAAUUAAGGUAAAAUUCUUAAAUGGUGUAGAAAAACCUAAAAUGCUCUCAUCGAUGCCGUCGCUCGCUGCCGAAUUUAUUUUCCCGACUUCGUCCUUCGCACAAAAAGUUGGCCUUCUCGCUUCACCACCAUUUUAGCCUCAGAAAAGGAGAUAUUGCCUUCGUGCUUUCUCCUAACUCUAUUCACCUUUCGGUCCUUUAUUUCUAUAUCUUCUCUCUCGGUGUCGUUACCUCUCCUAAAAAAUUAAUUAUCUUUAAACUUGAGAUUCUCCACCAAAUUCAGCUUUCAAAACCUGUACUUGUGUUCGUCACGUCGAAUGCUGCUCAUACAAUUCCUAAUCUCAAAACAUUCGUACUCGACUCUCCCGAGUUUGAAUCGCUGAUGAUGAGUCUAGCUCACUGUGGAGAAAUAGGAGGGAAGGUUUACCAAUUGGACCCUGGGACAAUUCUCUAUCCUCAUGGACUACUGGUCGAGUUAAUGGAGUGGUUUUGGCUCAUCGAAAUUACAGAUGCAUGGUGGCCCUAAGUCAUGCAGUUUACACGAGCUGGAUGGCAACUGCAACUGUUGCCUUAUAUUCAUGUUCAUGGUUUAUGUUAUUUCGUGAGAGCUUUAACUAUGGGAGUGGCGGUGGUAUCCAUAGGUAGAUUUGAUAUAAAGACAAUGCUGACAGUAAUUCAGGAGUGUAAGAUAGACUGCACCGGCGGUGGUGCUGAUAACUAAGGAUCCUAGGUUGUUAGACGGCUAAGGUUUUAGCUCUCUAGAUGUUGCAGGUUGCAGCGUUGCUUCGCUUAGAAAAAGCGUAGUUGAACUAUUCCGUGAGCAAUUUCGAAAUUUGACUUUAAGUCAGGUUAGUUAAUCACCAAACUUGGAUUUUUACCAUUAACCGAUGGUUAAUUUCUCAUAUUGGUUAUUCAAUGUGUAGCGUAUGAUCCACCAUUAAGUAAUAAAAAAAUGCAGAUGAAACGUCAUGUUAGCUACUCGCAAAUGCUCCCCCACUUUCAUUUCAAAUUUGAAUUGAGUCGCUAAAUGUUUUUAAAUCCUAACUUAUUGUACCAAAUAAAAUCAUUUUGAUUAAAAUGCAAAAAUUCAUAAAGGUUUAAAUUUUUUAUGCCAUUAUCCAAAAAUAUAUUAAAUGUCAUGAAAUACAUGAUAAUAGUUAAUUGACAAAAUGAGAGAAGCACCACGGUGCUUCUCCAUUUCGGUUAGUUAAAUAACCUUAUAGGGGUGUUGGAGUUAGUGGUAUUAGAGCUAAUGUUUAGGCGUUUCUAGGUGUUAAGGUGAAGGAACAAGUAUAAGCAAAUGUGUAUACCUUAUAGGUUCAGGUCUGGAUAUAACUCUACUAUAGGCUUUUGUAAGUUGGCUAAGAAUGUUAUUUGACAUUCAACAUGUGUUAGAAGAUAGAGGUGAUAAUCUAAAGUCGUGAUCGCGAUAAUCUAUUCAAUGCUACAAACGUUUGUAUUGUAAGCUGCAGAUUGCAUUAUGGAAAUUGUAGCUUUGAGUGGAAAUUGUGUGCAUCACUUUUAAGAAUCUGCUAGGAUAUAGUAGAUGCCUUAUAUCUGAUGCAGUUGUACCAUGACAAGUUUCUAACUGCUAUGAAUUGACUUUAAAUAAAAGUUUAUAUCCUUUUAGAAUAAAAUACUAGAGAUAUUUGCAAUAAGGUAUAGAGAAAUUCUAUGAGAGCGACAAUGUACUCAAAAAACAUAAUUGUUUUUGAGUUGUUUAUCAUUAAAAAGUGGAAUUUUAUAAAUAUUAUGAUAUAAGAGAAAUGAAAAAAAGGAGAGGUAUGAGUAGGUGAAAUAGGCUAGAACAUGUUAGUGACCAAUCUUCUUGUUCACUUUUUACUGUGAUGAUUGUUUGAUAUCGAAACAUAGUCUUAACCUUCGAGAGAAAUAAAUUUGAAUUAUCAUAAUAACAGAUUCAAGAGUUUUAAGGAAAGUUUAAUUAUCUAAACAUUAUGUAAGAGGGGAUUGAAGAUACAAGGUAAAUACACACAUAAAAUAGGUGAUAGUUAUGAGAUGGUAGGUGUGAUUAAGGGGUUAAUUUAUCUCAUUAAUAACAUAUUAGUUACUCUAGCUAGGAAAAAAAUACGGAAGAUUGUAGAGUCUAUCAAACUUUUAAAAACAUGACAUAAACAGUGUAUGAAUUCCUAAUGUACUUUUUGAUAAAUAUUUCGAUUCAUCACUUGGAAGUGGAUAGAGUUGCCUUUAAGAUUAUAUUGAAGGUCUAUAUUGGAAAACCGAAUUAAUCACUGCAAUAGUUUAUUCUUUUUUCCUUUUUGGAAGCAUUUUUAAAUUUGAUAAGAUUAGAUAAAUCAUUUUGGAGGAAGUGAUAUUAUUUGAGAUAAUAUUGUUAUUUAUUGGAAGUUUAGUUUUUAUCUAUAUUUGUGAUAUAGUUAGAUUUUAAACACUUUAAUCGGUAUAAGUAAUUAUUAUUGAUAGGUUAUAUUGAUAUCUGUUUAUAUAUAAAUAUGUGUAUAUAUAUAUAUAUAUGUUUUGAAUGUUGGUAUUUAGUUUCUUAAUUGGAUUGUGCAAAGUUAGCUAUGAAAAUAUAAUUAUUCAUGUUUCCUUAGUUAUUUCCUGGAUUCUAGAUAUAACCCUUAUUAUUCCAAUAGAUUAUUGAAUAAAUGAAUAAGAUUAUUUUUGUAUAGCAUAGUGUGAUAUUGUGGUUGAUUAUUAGCAAGAAUAAAUUAUGUUAGUAUAAACUUUAUGUUAUUAUCUAUUGUUAAGAGCUACGUGGACUUGAUCCUCUAUUGGAGGUACGUAGGCAGCCUUCGGGUGCGGUCGAAAUAUAAUAUAUGUUAAGACUUUAAUUAGCAAAUAGUAGCGAUGUGAAUUCAAGCCAUAUUAAUAGAUUUUCAUGUUGAAUAAAUUACUUAUUGGAAAUUUAAUAAGUUUAAUAUGACUAAAAUAAUUAACAUAUAUAUAAUUAUAUUUAUAAGAGUAUAGAUAAAAAUAAAGCCACAAAAGAAAUCACUGAAUUAGAUAAGAUAUAGGAGAACAAUUUUCUUAAAGAGACCAUGAGUGAAUUAGAUCCUUAAUAUUGCCAAAACAUUACUAUAACUUAGGAUAGAAGCAUACAGAAGUACCUAAAAUGAAUAACUUGGAAAGCUUGUCAAAGGAACGAAAAUUAGCAUGCGAAUAGGUGCAAUUUGUGAUAUAAAACAACAAUUGAAAGGCAGUGUCACCGUCUAGAUAUAAAACGUAAGUUGGCAUUUGAAAGGCAGUGUCGUAGUUCAGUUAUAAGGCAUAAAGGAAGUGUUGUACCUAUCCCAAAUCCUCAUUCACUAGCAGACUGAAUGAAAUUGUUUCUUGAAACAAUAAAGAAUAGUGGCAUAAAAUUCCAAAAUUUUAUUUCUUGGCACAUUAAAUUAGGAUUUAAAAAUAUUUGGCGAUUCUUUACAAAUUUGAAUUGAAAGUGGGGGAGCAUCUGUCGGUAGCAGGCCAUAUUGUAUUUUUAUAUUACUUGAUGCUGGAUUCUACGCUACACCUUGGAUAACCAAGGCGAGGUAUUAAUCGUUGGUUAAUUAAGGUAAAAUUCAUAAAUGGUGUAGAAAAACCUAAAACGCUCUCAUCGACGCCGUCGCUCGCUGCCGAAUUUAUUUUCCCGACUUCGUCCUUCGCACAAAAAGUUGGCCUUCUCGCUUCACCACCAUUUUGGCCUCAGAAAAGGAGAUAUUGCCUUCGUGCUUUCUCCUAACUCUAUUCAGCUUUCGGUCCUUUAUUUCUAUAUCUUCUCUCUCGGUGUCGUUACCUAUCCUAAAAAAUCAAGUAUCUUUAAACUUGAGAUUCUCCACCAAAUUCAGCUGUCGAAACCUUUACUUGUGUUCGUCACGUCGAAUGCUGCUCAUACAAUUCCUAAUCUCAAAACAAUCGUACUCGACUCUCCCGAGUUUGAAUCGCUGAUGAUGAGUCUAGCUCACUGUGGAGAAAUGGAAGGAGGGAAGGUUUACCAAUUGGACCCUGGGACAAUUCUCUAUCCUCACGGACUACUGGUCGAGUUAAUGGAGUGGUUUUGGCUCAUCAAAAUUUCAGAUGCAUGGUGGCCCUAAGUCAUGCGGUUUACACGAGCUGGAUGGCAGCUGCAACUUUCUUUUUUAUCGUUGCCUUAUUUUCAUGUUUAUGGUUUAUGUUAUUCCGUGAGAGGUUUAACUAUGGGAGUGGCGGUGGUGUGCAUAGGUAGAUUUGAUAUGAAGACAAUGUUGAUAGUAAUUCAGGAGUGUAAGAUAGACUGCACCGGUGGUGGUGCUGAUAACUAAGGAUCCUAGGUUGUUAGACAGCUAAGAUUUUAGCUCUAUAGAUGUUGCAGGUUGCAGCGUUGCUUCGCUUAGAAAAAGCGUAGUUGAACUGUUCCGUGAACAAUUUCGAAAUUUCACUUUAAGUGAGGUUAGUUAAACACCAAACUUGGAUUUUUACCAUUAACCGGUGGUUAAUUUCUCAUAUUGGCUAUUCAAUGUGUAGCGUAUGAUCCACCAUUAAGUAAUAAAAAAAUACAAAUGGAACGUCACGUUAGCUACCGGCAAAUGCUCCCCCACUUUCAUUUCAAAUUUGAAUUGAAUCGCUAAAUGUUUUUAAAUCCUAACUAAUUGUACCAAGUAAAAUCAUUUUAAUUAAAAUGAAAAAAUUCAUAAAGGUUUAAAUUUUUUAUGCCAUUAUCCAAAAAUAUAUUAAAUGUCAUGAAAUACAUGAUAAUAGUUAAUUAACAAAAUGAGAGAAGCACCACGGUACUUUUCCAUUUCGGUUAGUUAAAUAACCUUAUAGGGGUGUUGGAGUUAGUGGUAUUAGAGCUAACGUUUAGGCCUUUCUAGGUGUUAAGGAGAAGGAACAAGUAUAAGCAAAUGUGUAUACCUUAUAGGUUAAGGUCUUGAUAUAACUCUACUAUAGGCUUUUGUAAGUUGGCUAAGAAUAUUAUUUGACAUUCAAUCUGUGUUAGAAGAUAGAGGUAAUAGUCUAAAGUCGUGAUCGCGAUAAUCUAUUCAACGCUACCAAUGUUUGUAUUGUAAGCUGCAGAUUACAUUAUGGACAUUGGAGCAUUGAGUGGAAAUUGUGUGCAUCACUUUUAAGAACUUGCUAGGAUAUAGUAGAUGCCUUAUAUCUAAUGCAGUUGUACCAUGACAAGUUUCUAACUGCUAUGAAUUGACUUUAAAUAAUAGUUUAUAUCCUUUUAGAAUAAAAUACCAGAGAUAUUAGCAAUAAGGUAUAGAAAAAUUCUAUGAGAGCGACAAUGUACUCAAAAAACAUAAUUGUUUUUGUGUUGUUUAUCAUUAAAAAGAGGAAUUUUAUAAAUAUUAUGAUAUAAGAGAAAUGAAAAAAAGGAGAGGUAUGAGUAGGUGAAAUAGGCUAGAACAUGUUAGUGACCAAUCUUCUUGUUCACUUUUUACUGUGAUGAUUGUUUGAUAUCGAAACAUAGUCUUAACCUUCGAGAGAAAUAAAUUUGAAUUAUCAUAAUAACAGAUUCAAGAGUUUUAAGGAAAGUUUAAUUAUCUAAACAUUAUGUAAGAGGGGAUUGAAGAUACAAG